rnacentral:tRNA from 2 species
UCCCUGGUGAUCUAGUGGUUAGGAUUUGGCACUUUCACUGCUGUGGCCUGGGUUCAAUCCCUGGUCAGGGAA